AAGCGAAACAAACAAGGCCACCCCUUGUUUGUCUGCCUAGCAUGGCGGCUAGGCACUGAUGAGCAGCCAUUA
rnacentral:hammerhead_ribozyme from 1 species